GCUCAGCUAGUUAGGAAGCUGCUUACAGUGCAGGAGACCCAGUUUUGAUCCCUAGGUCAGGAAGAUCCCUGGAGAAGAGAGUGGCUAUCCAUUCAGGUAUUCUUGCCUGGAGGAUUCCAUGGACAGAGGAGCCUGAUGGGCUACAUACAGUCCAUGGGGUCAGAAAGAGUUGGGCGCAACCUUUUCACUUUUCAUGUAUGAUUUUCUUUAUUUAUUUAUGGCUGUGCUGGGUCUUUAUUGCUUUGCUUGGGCUUUCUCUAUGCAGUCUGUGGGGGCUACUCUUCAUUGCGGUGCAAAGGCUUCUCUUUCUGGUGGUUUCUCUUGUUACGGAGGACAGGCUCUAGGCACACAGGCUUCAGUAGUUGUAGCAUGCUGGCUUGGUAGUUGUGGCGAGGCAUAUGGAAUCUUCUGGGACCAAGGAUCAAACCCACAUUCCCUGCAUUGGCAGACAGAUUCUUAUCCACUGUACCACCAGGGAAGUCUGUGAACUGUGAACAGUUACUCUCAAGAAGUACUUUCCCAUCUCAGAAAUAGUGCCGCUUCUUUCUUGUAGGUAACUCUAUAUAAAAGUAUUUAGGUUAAGCUUUGAUUUUUCAUUCAGAGAUGAAUUUCAUUCAUUCUUUCUUCCUUGUUUGCUGCUACUUUUACUUCAAGUGCUUUUUCUUGAGUUCCUUAUUUUUGUUAAGUUUCCCUGGUGGCUCAGAUGGUAAAGCAUCUGGCUACAAUGAGGGAGACCCAGGGAUCUAACCUGGGUCUCCUGCAUGCAGUACCUACCUUACCAGAAUUGUUUUAAGGAUUAAAUGUGAUAAUAUAUGUAAAAUUACCUAACAGUGCCUCGUGAUGCUGAGUGAGCACUCAGUUAAAGUUAGCUAUUAUUUUUUACCUUGUCUUUUUUUUUUUUUUUAAACUUAUGUAUGGACUAUGUUCCCAUCAUUAAUGGAAGGAUUACUAUCUAUUGUUAUCUAUUAUGUGCCAAGCACUGUGCCAAGCACUUUCACUUAUGUUAUCCUAUUUAAUUUUCACAACAAUCUUGAGGUUAAAGUGAUUUGAUAUAUAGGCCAUAUCUGGGAAUUAUUAGAGCCAGGGUUUUGAACUUAAUUAUAUUUGCCUCUAAAGCCUUUUUAUUAUUUAAUGGUGCUUUUUCAUAGACAUGAAAUUUCUUAUUUUUCUCAUAGGGUGAACCAAGUGUGUGUACAAACCAAGUUCAUUCAUUUAAUGGAUUUAUUGUGUAUAAAUAAAUGAAGUGGAACUUGGGGUUUUACUCCAUUUAUAUUAUCGCUUUUUGUGGCCAACAGUCAUAUGUUCUCUUCCUUCUUCACUCAGAAAGUGCUUCCAAAUUCCUUUUCAUUCUCUGUAAUACUUAAGGCACUAGUACCUUUAUUUACAUGUAACUACUGCAUGCUCUUGUUUAUCUGCUUAAAACAAAAACCUUUGCUAAUUAAUUUUAAACCUCCUAAUCCAAUCCCUUUAUUUAUAAUCGAAGCAAACAAGGCUCAGAACAGCUAAGAGACCUGCCCAAGGUCACACAUGAAGCUAAUGGCUGGUGAUCCAGGUUCUUGGCUCAUACCCAGAGUGCUAUUCAUUAUACCAAGAGCCUCUGGAGAAGAACCACUUGAGAAUAGUAUUGUCAUAAGCAGUUGAAAACCUCCACCUGCU
ensembl:lncRNA